UACGUAGGGGCCUAGCGUUGUCCGGAUUUAUUGGGCGUAAAGAGCUCGUAGGCGGCUUGUCGCGUCGUCUGUGAAAUCCCGCGGCUCAACCGCGGGUCUGCAGUCGAUACGGGGCAGGCUAGAGUUCGGUAGGGGAGACUGGAAUUCCUGGUGUAGCGGUGAAAUGCGCAGAUAUCAGGAGGAACACCGGUGGCGAAGGCGGGUCUCUGGGCCGAUACUGACGCUGAGGAGCGAAAGCGUGGGGAGCGAACAGG
rnacentral:rRNA from 1 species